CCUUACUAAACAUAAGAUAACUCAUAUUGGAGAUACAUCUUACAAAUACCUAGAAUGUGAUAAAGCCUUUAGCCAGUCUUCAACUCUUACUAAACAUAAGAACAUUCAUACUGAAGAGGAACCCUAUGAGUGUGAAGAAUAUGGCAAAGCCUUCAACAAGUCCUCAAUUCUUACCAGACAUAAGAUAAUUCUGGCUGGGUGCGGUGGCUCACACCUGUAAUCCCAGCACUUUGGGAGGCUGAGACGGGUGAAUUACAUGAGGUUGGGAGUUCGAGACCAGCCUGACCAACAUGGUGAAAUCCUGUCUCUACUAAAAAUACAAAAUUAGCCAUGCGUAGUGGUGCAUGCCUGUAAUCCCAGCUACUCGGGAGGCUGAGGCAGGAGAAUUGCUUGAACCCGGGAGGCAGAGGUUGAAGUGAGCUGAGAUCGCGCCAUUGCACUCCAGCCUGGGCAACAAGAGUGGCACUCCAUCUCAG
rnacentral:lncRNA from 1 species